GUGUCAUUGUGAUGUUGGCUCGGUUCACUCAGACAAAAACUCUGGUUGAAGCUUGAGAUGUUAAGCGUACAAUUUAACGGUGGUUUAGCUUUGAUUGAGCCGUGCCAAUAUCUCAGUGUUCUUU
rfam:Jatropha curcas cultivar GZQX0401 scaffold221_23, whole genome shotgun sequence.